CGCGCUGUAGCUCAGAUGGUAGAGCGGCGGACUCAUAACCCGUAGGUCGGAGGAUCGAUACCUCCCGGCGCGA
rnacentral:tRNA from 1 species